rnacentral:rRNA from 1 species
AUUGAACGCUGGCGGCAUGCUUUACACAUGCAAGUCGGACGGCAGCACAGAGAAGCUUGCUUCUUGGGUGGCGAGUGGCGAACGGGUGAGUCACAUAUCGGAACGUACCGAGCAGUGGGGGAUAACUAAUCGAAAGAUCAGCUAAUACCGCAUAUCUUCUGAGGAAGAAAGCAGGGGACCAUUUGGCCUUGCGCUGUUUGAGCGGCCGAUAUCUGCGUAGCUGGUUGGUGGGGUAAAGGCCUUCCAGGGCGACGAUCAGUAGCGGAUGUGAGAGGAUGGUAGGCCACAUGGGAAGUGGAACACCGCCAAGACGCCUGCGGUAGGGACCAGUGGGGAAUUGGGGACAGUGGUGGCAAACCUUGUACAACCAUGGGACGUGUCUGAAGACGGCCUUCGGGUUGUAAAGGACGUUUGUCAGGGAAGAACAGGGCUGGCCUAAGACGCCUCUCUGAUGACGGUACCUGGUGAAUAAGCACCGGCUAACUACGUG